AGAGUUUGAUCAUGGCUCAGGAUGAACGCUAGCUACAGGCUUAACACAUGCAAGUCGAGGGGAAACGACAUCGAAAGCUUGCUUUUGAUGGGCGUCGACCGGCGCACGGGUGAGUAACGCGUAUCCAACCUGCCCACCACUUGGGGAUAACCUUGCGAAAGUAAGACUAAUACCCAAUGACGUCUCUAGAAGACAUCUGAAGGAGAUUAAAGAUUUAUCGGUGAUGGAUGGGGAUGCGUCUGAUUAGCUUGUGGCGGGGUACGCCACAGGCGACGAUCAGUAGGGGUUCUGAGAGGAAGGUCCCCCACAUUGGAACUGAGACACGGUCCAAACUCCGUACGGGAGGCA
rnacentral:rRNA from 1 species